rnacentral:lncRNA from 1 species
CGCAGGUGAGGGUCCCCUCGGGGCCCUGGUGGGUGUUGGGAGCUGCUGUUUGUCCCCCCCAGGAGGGAAGGACCUGGCGGGGUGUCCCUGGGGAUCUCCAGAGGGUGUCCAUUCCCCGGUGCUUUGGCCUUGGGGUCAUGGAAUCCCCUGAGUUGGGAGGGGCCCGCAGGGAUCGUCGGUCCAACCCCUGGCCCUGCAGACACCCCAGCAAUCCCCCCUGUGCAUCCCGGGAGCUGUUCCUGCAAACACGGGGGCAAAGAGCUGCUCGUGGAAGUCAAGCACUGGAGCUGCUUGGGAAGAGGUGCUGGGACAGGAGCUGAGCCCCUGUUUGUCCCCCAGCUGAGGGGACAGAGGCUGCCCUUGCGCUGCUCCUUGCAGGGCGUCACAGAUAUUAUUAGGAAGUCCCAGGGAAGCAGGACGUGGAGUUUGUGGUGUGAAACAUCAUCAUCAUCCUGAUGUUUUUUUGGCAAAGCUCCCCCUCCCCACACCAGGACUGCUGUGCCUCCCCGAGGAGUCAGACCUGCUCCCACCUCAGCCCGUGCCUGCCCUCAGCAAACAAACACCUGAUGGUGAAACCUUCUGCUUCUCCUGUUUGCUGGGAUUUCAGGCUCUCAAAAACUGGUUUGAAAACAUCAAUUAAGCUUCCUGUUGUCUGUUUUCAAGAUCAGCGGGGGAGGAAACUGAGGCACAGGCUGCAGGAUGGUUUUUUACAUGCCCGGCUGCUCCUCCCUCUGCUGCUGCUCUCUUGCCUGAGGUAGAGGUGAGGUGGGGUAAUGUAAUGCUGGUAGGUUUUGGUAGAUGGGAGUGGGGAUGUCACCUGGGCCUGCUAAAUGUGUCCCCUCCAUCCCAGGCUGUGGCUGAGACCCCAAGUCCUGCCUCCCCAGAACCACAGGGCUCCUUUGCACCCCCCAGCCCUGGGGUUUGGCCAGCUUUACCUGGUGCAGCAUGACUCUGGAUCAUCCCAGAGCACGUGGGGGCUGGAACACCCCUACACUGCCUCACCUGGGGGCAGGUUUCUCGCUGUGCUGCGUGUGACAGGACUGAAUCAUCACCCGUCCUUGGGAACAGCUAUGCAAGGAAUAUGUAUUUAUGCACAUAAAAGCAUAAAUGUCAGUGCCUGUGUCCCGGUUUUGGCUGGGAUAGAGUUAAUUUUCUUCCCAGUAGCCGGCCCAGUGCUGUGUUUUGGAUUUAGCAUGGGAAUAAUGUUGAUAACAACUGAUGUUGUAGCUGUGGCUGAGUUGUGCUUUCUCCAAAUCAAGGACUUACCAGUUUCCCAGGCUCUGCCAACGAGCAGGAGCACAAGGAGUUGGGUGGGAGCAUGGCCAGGAGAACUGACCUGGACUGGCCAGAGGGAUAUUCCAUUCCACGGAACAUCCUGCCCAGUACAGAAACUGGGGGGGUUGGGACCUGUCUCUCGCUGCUGUGGGACGAGCUGGGUCAGGGGGUGGUGAACAACUGUGUGGGGCAGCUCUGGUUUCUCUUGGGUUUUUACUCCUCUUUCUCUCCUUUUCAUUACUAUUAUUGUCAUCAUUACCAUUACUAUUAUUGUAAUUCUUCUUCAUCAUCCAAGAUUUGUUUUAAUCAGCUUUUAAUCAGUUCUUAUGUACCUGCCUGGGCUUUCAUUUCUCAUAAGACAUUGUGCCAAAACUCCACUUUGACCAAUGUUCCCGUGGGCUGGGAGACUGUUAGAACUUUGUCUUGCCAACAGCAUCUCUGCAGGGAAUUCAACAAUGCUCUGAGUUUCCCCAGGCUGAGCUGGGUCUCCCUGCUGGCAGAAUCCACAUUGUUCCCUCCCAGCAUGGGGCACUUCCCAGAUGGGAGAACAGUGUUUUCAAUCAGAGCUGGAACUCCAAAGAAAAGAAGUGCCUGAAACAGUCCAAAAGGGAGGAAAAUAAAACUCAUCACUGCAGUUACCACCAACGUUCUUUUUUCUGUCAGUCUGUGGACACCUGAUGCUCCCAGGUCUUUAUCUCACUGACACUGAGUUCUGAGUAGUGUUCUUGUUUUAGAAGAGGGAACUUUAGGCAUAAGUAAUUUAACCUCUAAUGAAAUCAAUGUUCCACUACUAGAAUGAUCUAGAAUUGAACCUUAUUUUAAGUGAUUUUGGGGUCCAGCUGCAGAGUGUGUAGGAUGACGUUCGGUGUUUGCAGCCUGGGGAUUCACUGCAUGAGUCAAAGUUUCUAUAGAAAGUGGGGGCUGCUUCUUUUCUGCCCCUGAUGGUUCCAGGGACAUUUUCUUCCUCAGAACUGGCCAGAGCCUUUUCUGUGAACAGUCGGUGUGUUACAGUAACCGUGUUCACCUGCUAUGAUGGGAAUUGUGCAGGGAGAAGGACCUGUGGGAAUGACAUGCACGGAGAUGUGUGUGGUUCUUAAAGGGGCAUGAGAUGGGACCCUAAUGGGGGUCUCUGGUGAGCCCCACCUGCAGAGCUGCCUCCAGCCCUGGGAAUUCCAAUGUCAGAAGGACGUGGAGCUGCUGGAGCCAGUCCAGAGGAGGCCCCGGAGCUGCUGCAGGGCUGGAGCCCCUCUGCUCUGGAGCCAGGCUGGGAGAGCUGAGGGUGUUCACCUGGAGAAGGCUCUGGGGAGACCUGAGAGCCCCUUGCAGGGCCUAAAGGGGCUCCAGGAGAGCUGGAGAGGGACUGGGGACAGGGGAUGGAGGGACAAAGACACAGGGAAUGGCUUCCCACUGCCAGAGGGCAGGGCUGGAUGGGAUAUCGGGAAGGAAUUCCUCCCUGCCAGGUCUGUAACAUCCGAGAACCCUCUCGGGCGGCAGGAAGUGCUGUGGUAGGUUAACGUUAAUUCUCCAGCGCAUCUACAAAGGCAAGAAAUGACUUUCUGUGAAGGCAGAGCCUUCGGCCCUGGGAGGAAAUGAAGCCUGGCUGCUGCAGGCCGCGGGUCAGAGCCGUGGCCUGUGUGCCCCGACACGCCCCAGACCUUUGGCUCUGAGCUAAUCCAGGCCGCUGGCUUCCAGCCUGUGAUCCGUGCCUUAUCAGUGGGGUCCAUGGCGGAUCCUAGGAAGGGAGUGGAACACGGAGAGGCGCUGCCUGGCGCGUCCUCUCCGGCAGCCGGCAAACCCGGGGGCGGGAGGGCACCACAUCCCGCUGGUUUGCUAUGUUCUAGCGCAGAGGUGAGCGCUGUGGGGAAGGGGAAGGGGAACACGGGAAACAGGGGUUUGCCGUGGCCUCCCGCGCGCCUCGUGCUCCUUUGUCCGCGGGGCCGGGCGGGCGCAGCCUCGGCGGGGCUGUUCCGGCCGCGCUGAGCGCCGCCAUUCCCGCAGCCCCCACACACGCCAGUCCGCGGCCUUUCAUCCUUCUCUUCGAGCAGACUUCUCUCAGGGGCCUCUUGGCCACGCUUUCCCCCAUCCAAUGGUUGCUCUAAGCAAAUAUUAUCGUUUUUAAUUUCCUCAUAGCAUCAGCGGUCUUGGGGACAAACAUCCUCCCAGAACAGCCCUUUCUGCCAGCUCACGCGGCCACACCGUGGCCCUGCCGUGUCACCCAGGCCACGUUGUCACCAGUGGGGCCCUGCACAAGCCCCACAAGCCCCCCUGGAGCUAACGGCCUGGGGAGUUAGAGCCCUUUUGCGGAUUAUUUGGUUUAUUCGGCUUAUUCUGUUUAUUCGAAUUUGGUUAUUCGGUUUAUUCGCAUCAUUCGGAUUAUUCGGUUUAUUCGCAUCAGGGUAGGCCCUGGAGCCCCCCAGGGGGACAAGACACCUCGGGGAAGGGUGGCUGUCAGAGGGGGGUCAUUGGAGUCUCCUCUCCCUCUGGGGCUCACCGUCCUAUUGUUUUAGGACAAUAACCGGCACCGUGCCU